rnacentral:lncRNA from 1 species
CAGGAACCUGCCUGUGCCCCCAGCCCCAGGCCCGAGCACAGAGCCCCAAAGGCCAGUGGGCAGUGGUACUGGGGGCCCAUGGGUGACCCUUCUGCCUGGACCUCCAUGGCACCGAAGCCCACACCGCAGGUACUGCUCACCGUGAGUGUCAGGAUGGCUGCAGCAGAGCAUCAGACUGUGGGCCUCAGUGGGCUCUGGGUGAUGUUCCAGUCUGGUGCCCUCUGUCAGCCGUGAGGAUGCAAAGCCGAGGAUAAGCCACAUGGAGAGGCAUGCGUGCAUGUGUGCAUGCAUGCAUGCGUGCAUGCGCGUGCAUGCCACUUCAGGUGCACACUGCCCUCAGGUGCCUCCUGACUACAAGGGGGCCACUGAAGGCCAACCCAGGCUCCUCUGGGAGCAGAUGGGUGGAGUGGGUUUUGUGAGCACCACCCUAGUCUUUGGACAGCAAGCACCGAAGGGCUUUCAGUUCAGAACAGAUGCUUAGGAAAUUUGUGUCUUCAGACUGUUUUGCCAGCCAGCAGCUUGCAGCUGGAGACGAAGGCUGAAAUUCAAUCGAGGUGACUGCAGAAUCGGGCUGCGGUUGAGCCCCACAUCCUUUUAAGAAGGUUUGGUGGGAUGGCGGCUGGCAGCCAGAGGGAGAGAGGAGCAUGAGACUUGCCUUACACACCGUGGCUUUCUGGGUGUGGGGACUUCUCCGAGCAGGCUUCCUGCCCCUGCCCACUGCAGGUGUCGGGAGUAGGUCCCCUUGGCUGUGAGCUGCAGUGGAGACUCCUGAGCGAGCUGCCUGUAGCUUCUCCCUGCAGACUGGACGGCUGUGGUGCUCAAAGUGGGGGUGGCUGGAAGGGAGGGAGGAGCCCAGCUUCCUCCUCCUGCGGUGACCGCAGCCUUCCGUGCUUGUGUAGCCAGGCAGUGGACAUCACAUGUCCAUGUCCCUGUCCCUCUCCCCGCCCUGGUCCUGGCAGCGUGGCUCCUCUGGGAAGUUGGUGCUGGCUGCAAAGGUCCAAGUAGAAUCAGGUCUCGCUGCCCCACGAGGACAGUGGCAAGGGUGCUCUGAGGCUCCUGAGGGCCGGGCUUCUCGUCCCCACGUUGGUGUCAAACACGGGGUGUUCGGACGGCCGCCCUUACUGCCCCCGUGCUGGCUUUUGCCCAGGGCGCCUGCUGUGCUGUACUGUGGAAUGUCCGGAGUUACAAGCUACACGUGGAAAGCCAGCCUUUCGUGGGUGGAGUGUCACCGCAGGGCCCACGUCUUUGUGCCACAGCCACCUAUCCUCUAAGAGGCCCUGAGGUUGGAGACCUGCAGCUUCCUGGGUAGCACAGGGUCACAUCAGGACCGUAGAGCACCCGCCCUGAUCUCCCAGGUCGGCAGGGCCCUGAGCAGGCGUGGGUCCCGUGUGCAGCCAGAGUUGAAGCCCACUGGAGGCAGUGCAGAGGGCAGCUGUGCUCCAGUGCUGCGGGAAGAGCCACUCAGGACAGGCUUGAGAUGGGCCAGGGCGCUGGCCUUUGAGGCCUGGAGAGAAAGGCCAGGCUGAGGUGUCUGGGGAGAAGCAGUCUGGCUUGUGCCCUGGCCAGGGUGCCCAGCACCGCAGCUCAGGGCCAGCCUCUGACCAUGCCACGGCGCGGAAGAGUACAUCGGAGUGAAAGGCUCUGCCCGCAUGCGGACUCCAGGAGGCCACAGCAGAGCCACCAGAGUCACUGAACCAGGUGGGCAGGGCUGAUGGAACGAGUUUGCUCCUCCACACUAGCAGCAUGCAGCCUGGGAGUGAGCUGAAGACAGCCCCGUGCGGCUCCUGUCCUGGUUCGAAGCCUGGCACCACCGCCUUCCUCUCCGGGAGCCUUCGGCUGGAGGAGCCAUGAGAACAGCCGCACAUUUGCCCUCAGCAGUCACAAGCCAGCUGGAGGCCCACCAGGAGGAAGGCAUGGUCAUCUCGCACAUGGCUGUGGCUGGUGUCGGGCUCUGGGUUGCCUUCACUACCGGGUCCACCCUCCGCCUCUUCCACGCGAAACGCUGAAGCACCUGCAGGAUGUCAACAUCGCUGCCCCUGUGCACUGACAUGCUGCCAGGUACAGGCCAGGGACACUGCCACCAGAAUUGGGGUAGAGCCACGGCCUGCCUUGGGUGCGGGAGGUAGGGGCACUGGGUGCUGCCAGGUGCAGGGUGGGGCCUGCAGUGGAGGCGGGGUGAGGCUUCCGGCCCUGGUUCGAGUGCCCAGAGUCCCCCAUGUUGGAGCAGAGCCACGGUCCCAUCCCUCCCUGGGGAGCGGGUGACGAGCAUGAUCUGUGUCCAUGAAGCAGAAGGAGGGCCCAGGGGUAAUAGAGAGGUAGAGAUGGAGGAGGAGAGAGAGUCCGUGGAGGCAGCAUCUCAGCCGGGCUCACCGUGCAUGGGGCGGGAGGCAGGCGGUGGAGGACCGGAG